rnacentral:tRNA from 1 species
GCAGUGGUGGUUCCGUAGUAGAAUUUGCACCUUCCAUGCAGAAGGCCCAGGUUUGAUUCCCGGCCAAUGCA